UUCCUGUUGUCCCCCGCGGCGCGGCGCGGCGCGCGGACGUACGCGCGGUGCACUCGAUCCCCUCGGUUUUCGCCUUGGCGGUGAGCGAGCUCGAGACGUCCAGGUCGCGGUUCCUGCGUCGAGGCCGCCUUGGCGAUGACCGAGAGUCCGCGACGCCCAGGCCGCGGGGGCGGCGUCGAGGCCGCCUUGGCGGUGAGCCACCCCCACGACGUCGCCUCCCCAUCGACGCCGCCGAACGAGGCCUACCAUCCAAUACGCCUACCAAUACGCCUCGUCCUCCCUCUUCGUCGCCGCCGAACCCACGCCUUCGACGCCGAGCGUCCCCACGUCCGGUCGCCGAGCCUGCUCUCCGCGCCGGCACCACGACGGAGGAGGAGGAGGCCGCGGCGGCCGGUGAGGACGAGGACACCGGCGCCCAGGUCGCGCCCAUCGUCAAGCUGCGCCCGCCCGCCCGCCGCCGCACGCUCCUCCACCCGCCGUCGCCGCGCGCGCCGUCCUCUGCCCGUUGCCGCGCCCGCCGUCCUCCAUCCGGCGCCAGCCCGCGCGCUCGUUGGUGCGCUCCCGCCGAUCGCCGGAGCGUUCCCGCCCGCCCGCCGGUGCGCGCCCGCCUGCCAUCCUCCAAGCGCCGGUGCUUGCCCGCCCGUCUGCCAUCCUCCGAGCGCCGGUGCUCGCCACAUGGAGCGACAGAAGCGACGCCACCGAUGUCGCAUGGAGCGACGACAGUGAUGCCGCCGGCGGAUCGUUGCCCGGCUCGCUUCGCAUCGUCGCCACCUCUGCAUUCGGACGGAGAACGCUCCGGCGCUGCGUGCCAUGCCAUGGACUCGUACUUGAAGGAGAAACUGGUGACUUGGCUCAGCCCCGCGGCACUGACGCUCCACCAGAUAACAUGGGAUGAUCCUGCCUCCUUGCUAGAGAAAGAUUGUGGCAUAUAAAGUUUGUGGCCAACUCCCUGUUGAUUUGAUUUUGUCUCCAUUUAUUUAGGCAGUGCAUCCAAUCAGGAUCAGGAAUCUGAUAGACUUCAAGAGAAGAUGGGGUGUAGGUCGCCGGUGCUUUGGCUACUUCCAUCUAGCAAUACCAGCCUGGCCAGUGGUUGGAGGGCAGGAACCAAGCGAUUCAUUGCAUUGGUCCUACGCUUAGUCUUCGUCUACUCAGUUGAUGACCAUGGGUACCGCAUCCCUUCACCAUGAAGAAGCUCAAUGGGCGUGGCCUGUAGGUCUUUACAUGCUCCUCUUGUUGCCAUUGCCAUCUCUCAUACUAAACGAUUUUGUGGUUCAGGUUUUAGAGUCGUAGCUGUCUUAAUCGGAUAUGCCUAGCCUAUUAAUUUUCUUAUGGUGUGCAAAUAAUGACGCUCCAACCAUAGCUCUGAAAUAAUUGCAUAUACGGGCAGAGAAAUCUCCAGAAAAUGCUAUUUUUCCUCUCUUUUCCUCCUAUGCAAAACAAAAAAGAAUUCUACUGUUAACACUUGCAGUGGCUACCCACUAGCAAUAGCAGGCUUGUUUGCCUUAUAGUGUGCUUGAUCUUUUUUUUUCUCGAACACGCAGGAGAGCUGCGUAUCUUUGUAUUAAGAGAGAAUAAGAGUGGUCCAAAUACAUAGAACACUCCACACCUUGGACCAGAGUCAGGAGCGUGCAGAUCUAAAAAAGACUAUUACAAAAAACACACAAAGUUGGGACCAGACCACAUCCAAACCAGCUAAUGGGCAUGCCUUUCCCCCAACUCAAGGCUUAGGGCAGCGAGCCUCUUAGCCCCUGAGAAUUGCCAAAGGUGUGAUUCCUCCUUGAAGGCUUGCACCGCGACCUGUAGGUUUGGAGACGCUCCCUCGAAAUCACAUGCAUUCCUAUGCUUCCAAAUGGUCCAGGCUCCGAGGAUGCACAAAGAAUUAAACCCCUUCCUGUGUUGUUUCUGAAGUUUCCUCUCAGCUUUUUUUCCACCAAUCAGCAAAGCUAACCGUCCUUGUUGGUGUUAAGCGAGCCAGGUUUAAUGGCUGCAAAAUGGCAAACCAGAAUUACCUAGCAAAAACACAGGAAGUGAGGAUGUGCUGAAUAUUUUCCUCUUCCUGGUCGCAGAGCGGGCAGCGCUCAGGAUGAGGGAGGCCUCUUUUUUGUAGACGGUCUGCAGUCCAACAACGGUUUCGAAUGGCCAACCACACAAAAGUUUUACAUUUCCCGGAGAAUUCCCCUGAAGCUUCAGGUUUCCACCGAUGGAUGUCAUCUGUAUUAUUUAGGUUAACACCAGCUAACAUGUCCCACAGCUCAAGGUAUUCUACCAGGCCAAGCCACCCUAGAGCUCCUUUUAUAUCUGCCACCCAGGAAUUCCCCAGCAAAGCCUCAGCCACUGUUCUCUUUUUUCUGAAUUUUAGAGGUACACAACUGACAACAUUUGGGGCCAGAUCCUCUAGACAGCUGCCAUGCAACC